GAUGAACGCUGGCUACAGGCUUAACACAUGCAAGUCGAGGGGAAACGACGGGGAAGCUUGCUUCCCCGGGCGUCGACCGGCGCACGGGUGAGUAACGCGUAUCCAACCUGCCUCUGACUGAGGGAUAACCCGUCGAAAGUCGGCCUAAUACCUCAUGGCAUCGUCUGCGGGCAUCCAACGACGAUUAAAUAUUUCAUCGGUCAGAGAUGGGGAUGCGUCUGAUUAGCUUGUUGGCGGGGUAACGGCCCACCAAGGCGACGAUCAGUAGGGGUUCUGAGAGGAAGGUCCCCCACAUUGGAACUGAGACACGGUCCAAACUCCUACGGGAGGCAGCAGUGAGGAAUAUUGGUCAAUGGGCGAGAGCCUGAACCAGCCAAGUAGCGUGCAGGAUGACGGCCCUAUGGGUUGUAAACUGCUUUUAUGCGGGGAUAAAGUGAGGGACGUGUCCUUCAUUGCAGGUACCGCAUGAAUAAGGACCGGCUAAUUCCGUG
rnacentral:rRNA from 1 species